AUUGAACGCUGGCGGCAUGCCUUACACAUGCAAGUCGAACGGCAGCACGGGUGCUUGCACCUGGUGGCGAGUGGCGAACGGGUGAGUAAUACAUCGGAACAUGUCCUGUAGUGGGGGAUAGCCCGGCGAAAGCCGGAUUAAUACCGCAUACGAUCUACGGAUUACAGCGUGGGACCUUCGGGCCUCGCGCUAUAGGGUUGGCCGAUGGCUGAUUAGCUAGUUGGUGGGGUAAAGGCCUACCAAGGCGACGAUCAGUAGCUGGUCUGAGAGGACGACCAGCCACACUGGGACUGAGACACGGCCCAGACUCCUACGGGAGGCAGCAGUGGGGAAUUUUGGACAAUGGGCGAAAGCCUGAUCCAGCAAUGCCGCGUGUGUGAAGAAGGCCUUCGGGUUGUAAAGCACUUUUGUCCGGAAAGAAAUCCUUGGCCCUAAUACGGUCGGGGGAUGACGGUACCGGAAGAAUAAGCACCGGCUAACUACGUG
rnacentral:rRNA from 1 species